rnacentral:snRNA from 12 species
AAAGUGAGGAGGGCAGACAUGAUGAUCAAGAUGAUAGUUUUCUGUGGUUAAGGUUCAUCUUUUGCACUCCAGAUGUCCUGACUUCUCAUUUCCACAAAUGUGGGAAACUUGACCACAUAACUUAUAGUAGUGUGAAACUCUGUUCAUA